rnacentral:rRNA from 1 species
GUCAAACUUUUACAGGAAGGAAUAUAAUUACAGUAAAUUAAAUAACUUUAAAACGUAUGUGGUGAAAUAUAAUCGUUAUAUGUUGACCUUUAUUAUAAAACAAAAUAACAUUGAUUUUAAACAAGGAUUAGAUACCCUUUUAUACAAUGCUGAAAAUAUUUACUGGGUACUAAAACUUUAUAAGUUAAAACUCAAAUUAUAUGGCGGUAACUUUAUUUUUAGGGGAACUUAUCUAUUAAAUGAUAACCACCAAGGUUAAUAACUAUAAGAAAUUCUUGUAUGCCGCCGUCGUCAGGAAAAACAUGAUGUUUUUCCGGAAGCCUUAAGGAAAAAGACAGGUCAAGGUGCAGACAAACUUAUAGAUAAGACGAGUUACAAUUUAUUAUUUUAACGACGAUAUGAUUAUAAAUACAUAUCAAAGUAGGACUUAAUAGUAAAAAUUAAUCAAGAUAAUUUUUGAAUAAGUUAAGGUGUGUACAA